rnacentral:rRNA from 1 species
UACGUAGGGGGCAAGCGAUACUCGGAAUCACUAGGCGUAAAGCGCAGGUAGGCGGUUUGAUAAGUCUCUUGUGAAAGCUCCCGGCUCAACUGGGAGAGGUCAAGGGAAACUGUCAGGCUAGAGUGUGGCAGAGGAAGCUAGAAUUCCCGGUGUAGCGGUGAAAUGCGUAGAUAUCGGGAGGAAUACCUAUGGCGAAAGCAGGCUGCUGGGCCGUCACUGACGCUGAUCUGCGAAAGCUAGGGGAGCAAACAGG